rnacentral:rRNA from 1 species
UACGGAGGUGGCAAGCGUUGUUCGGAAUUACUGGGCGUAAAGGGCGCGUAGGCGGCCAGGUAGGUCCGUUGUGAAAACUCGAGGCUCAACCUCGAGACGUCGGCGGAAACCCUCUGGCUAGAGUCCGGAAGAGGAGAGUGGAAUUCCUGGUGUAGCGGUGAAAUGCGCAGAUAUCAGGAAGAACACCCGUGGCGAAGGCGGCUCUCUGGGACGGUACUGACGCUGAGACGCGAAAGCGUGGGGAGCAAACAGG